GGUAAACGCUGGCGGCGUGCCUAAAACAUGCAAGUCGAACGAGAAAGUGGAGCAAUCCAUGAGUAAAGUGGCGACCGGGUGAGUAACACGUGACUAACCUACCCUACAGUGGGGGAUAACCUCGGGAAACCGGGGCUAAUACCGCAUAACAUUACGAGGUGCAACUCUUUGUAAUCAAAGGAGCAAUUCGCUGAAGGAGGGGGUCGCGGCUGAUUAGCUAGUUGGUGAGGUAACGGCUCACCAAGGCAAUGAUCAGUAGCCGGCCUGAGAGGGCGCACGGCCACACUGGGAACUGAAACACGGUCCAGACUCCUACGGGAGGCAGCAGUGGGGAAUUUUGCGCAAUGGGGGAAACCCUGACGCAGCAACGCCGCGUGGAGGAUGAAGUCCCUUGGGAUGUAAACUCCUUUCGAUCGGGACGAUUANGACGGUACCGGAAGAAGAAGCACCGGCUAACUCUGUGCCAG
rnacentral:rRNA from 1 species